ensembl:lncRNA
AAACAAUGAGUUGGAUCACAUGAAUGAUACUACUCAUUUAAAAUUUUAUAAUUUUAAUUUUGCAGAUACUACCUUCUUUCAGUUACAAAAGGAUUUUGGCCUUUAGAUAUCAGGUGUUUGUGAUGCAGUCUUACAAGGAACUUGCAUAAUUCUCUUUUUUCCUGAAGAAAUAAGCAAGACCACAGAGCAGUUUUGGUUUUAAUUCCACUUAUCCUUUUUAGGCAUUGCUUGGCAUGCAAGCUCUCAUGUUUAGCCAAGCAAAAAGAGCCAAACAUAUGUUAAGCCAUAAACCAGAGCCCCACUUUCAGCACUCCUCCUUCCUGUGUCCCUUGUCUCCUUUCUGAUUGUUUUUUUUAUGCCAUUUCUCUACAAGAACCAAUACUUUUUUUCCAGUUAAUUGUCUUUGUGAUGAAGCAUGUGGCCUGCAUGCAUGUUUACUUUGUAUGUUUCCACUGUUUACGCAAGAAGUUUAAUGGGUUUGUGUGACAAAAGAUCCUGUCUCUGUCUAACCUCAAUUGCAUAUAUACACAUAUGAGUACAUCAUGGAAUGUACUAUUUAAAUGCUAUGCAAAAAUUAUUUGCAGACAACUUUCUGUUGACUGCAACAAACCAGAAUUGAUCAAAACUGUGCAAAAGCAUCACACAGCUGGAAUGUGGUGGGUUCUCACUGGAUACUAUAGAGUGUAGCACUGCAGCUGAAAUAGUAGAUUUUCUGUUAUCAUUGCUUAGACUAGAAUAAAUCUGAGUCUGACCUGGUAUGUUCCAAGGUGCAGGAGUCACCCUCAGCUGACUGACAGAGGUAUCAGUCCAGUGAUGCACAUAUUGCCAUGAAACAGGAUUAUCAAAUGCAUAGGAAUCAUAGCAGAUUUUUCUACUAAUGAAUGUCAGCUACUAAUUGGAAUUUCCAAAGAGAUUUUUCCCCUCAAGACUGCCACAGCAGUAUCAAAGGGAAUUCUUGCAAUUUCAGGAGUGGUGGAGGGAUCUAUGAUCAUUUGCUGGUAUAUCAGAAGUGACAGUAAUACUGCUUAAUAGGGAAUCAGGUGGAAAAUUCACAGCAUUUCAUUAUAGCUUUAAUUUGAAUAAAGUGAGAUGUAUCUGUGACAAUAACAACAUAUGAGGGGUUGCUGUGACAGUCUCCUCUAAAGUUUCAUCCCUAGUGAACACUAGCUAUAGAUGUUUUGUUUUCAGGUUCCUAAAAUAAAAUUCUCUUAUCAGUAGACAGUAAGUCAGAAACAGUUUCCAAGAAAAACUUAAUGUUUCUUGACCAGUACUAGUCUACUAAUAAACCACUUGUGCUUCCUGCCAGUGAAAAACCUAGCCCAAUGAUAGUUCAGACUAGGCAAGACAGCAAGGGGGAAAACCUUAGACAAUUAAUACUUUGUUUAGGAAGAACAUACAGCAAGGUGAAUUACUUGUCUGCUUCUCUGCACUGUGGUGUCAAAAACCACUGGAAGAGUCACUCCAUUCUGUCUUCAAAGUAGCAUUGCUUAGCCAGCCCUUAUCCUGUGGGUGUUCCUAGAUACUGCUUUUCGCAGACGAGAACCUCUAAUCCUAAAAGCUGGCUAAUAAGCUGACCUUUCUGCAGCCAAAAGUGCUCAGAUUUGUCCACAGCACUCGAGCAGGAGCAACCCUGGAGCUGUUGCUGUAGAUGACAUUUCACAGAGGACUCCCAUUCAGUUAGGUGAAGUAUGUAGCAACCAGGUCAAGCUGUAUCAUGACAGUGGGCUGUAGAUUCAGAGACAUAAAAAUUAAAAAGCAUAUAUAGCCACACAUUACAUGCUCUACCUGCCUCUAACAUAUUUAAAGCAAUGAACACUGAAAGUUGAUUAUGCAAAAUGAAAUAAGCCAGCUGCAUUUGAUACAUGAUGUUAUCUGCACAAGGGAACCCUAAAGAUGUCAGUGCUACACCACCAAUUUAUUCAAAAUGUGUGGUCUUUGAUUUUGAUGUACAGCUGUGGAUUUUUGAAGCUUUUUUUUUCCUAAAAUAUUCUCUAGAUUCUCUGGAGAAUAAGUGGUUUAUUCCAUAUUACAAUGAAAGGGGAAAUUACAUCUAAAUAUAGCAAAAGUAGGGCCGAAGCUAUUGUCUGAGAAACAGGUCAGUGCAAAAGCAGGCUUCUGAAACCUCCUGCAGUAGCCUGUGGUACAUUAACCCAAAUUCAUUCACUCUGCAGCCAAAUAUCUGUUUUGGUCUAUGGUCCUAUGUCCCUUCCAUACUCCCAUUUAUCUGAAGUGCAAAAUCUGAUUCUAAAAGGAAGAACGUGGCAUCAAAUCCCCUUUCUCUGUGCUUGCAUUCCAGCUGCUUAAUGGUAGUACAUUCAGGGGGAAACAAGUUGUAAGGAUGAGGAGCAGCCAGAGCAGAGCCUGCUGUCUGUGUGCAUAUUAGUGCCUGUGCCAGUUUGCCUGCUUAUUGCACAGAAAAACUUAUGUAUAUAAAGAGGUUUGCAGAUGAAGAAAAUAUGUUUGUAAAAGUUGCUGGUAAGGAGCUAAAUUUAUUAAUGACAAAAAUUGAUAAAGUCCCAUACUAAGCUAUAGCCUUACAAUCUGCAAUUGUGUACCCUACAAAAAAAAAAAAAAAAAAAAAAAAAAAA